ACGGGUGAGUAACACGUGGGGAUCUGCCCUGAAGACUGGGACAACCCGAGGAAACUCGGGCUAAUACCGGAUGAUACUCUGAGGAGGAAAGGCUAGGUAGCAAUAUCUGGCGCUUUAGGAGGAACCUGCGUCCGAUUAGCUAGUUGGUUAGGUAAAGGCUGACCAAGGCGAUGAUCGGUAGCUGGUCUGAGAGGAUGACCAGCCACACUGGGACUGAGACACGGCCCAGACUCCUACGGGAGGCAGCAGUGGGGAAUAUUGGACAAUGGGGGCAACCCUGAUCCAGCAAUACCGCGUGUGUGAAGAAGGCCUUCGGGUUGUAAAGCACUUUAGUUGGGGAAGAAGGUGUGCUGUUUAAGAGAUGGCAUAUUUGACGGUACCCAAAGAAUAAGCACCGGCUAACUCUGUGCCAGCAGCCGCGGUAAUACAGAGGGUGCGAGCGUUAAUCGGAAUUACUGGGCGUAAAGGGCGCGUAGGCGGUUGUUUAAGUGAGUUGUGAAAUACCUGGGCUUAACCUGGGAAUGGCGACUUAUACUGGACAGCUGGAGUACUGUAGAGGGUAGUGGAAUUUCCGGU
rnacentral:rRNA from 1 species